rnacentral:rRNA from 1 species
UUAGGCGGACGGGUGAGUAACGACGUGGAAAACCUAGCCGUAUACUGGGGGAGUAACACUUAGAAAUAGGUGCUAAUACCGCAUAAGCGCACAGCUUCGCAUGAAGCGGUGUGAAAAACUCUGGUGGUAUACGAUGGUUCCGCGUCUGAUUAGCUAGUUGGUGGGGUAAUGGCCUACCAAGGCAACGAUCAGUAGCCGGCCUGAGAGGGUGAACGGCCACAUUGGGACUGAGACACGGCCCAAACUCCUACGGAAGGCAGCAG